AUUGAACGCUGGCGGCAUGCUUUACACAUGCAAGUCGAACGGUAACAGGGAGCUUGCUCCGCUGACGAGUGGCGAACGGGUGAGUAAUAUAUCGGAACGUACCCAAGAGUGGGGGAUAACGUAGCGAAAGUUACGCUAAUACCGCAUACGAUCUAAGGAUGAAAGCAGGGGAUCUUCGGACCUUGUGCUCCUGGAGCGGCCGAUAUCUGAUUAGCUAGUUGGUGAGGUAAAGGCUCACCAAGGCGACGAUCAGUAGCUGGUCUGAGAGGACGACCAGCCACACUGGAACUGAGACACGGUCCAGACUCCUACGGGAGGCAGCAGUGGGGAAUUUUGGACAAUGGGCGCAAGCCUGAUCCAGCAAUGCCGCGUGAGUGAAGAAGGCCUUCGGGUUGUAAAGCUCUUUUGUCAGGGAAGAAACGGGAGUGGCUAAUAUCCAUUCCUAAUGACGGUACCUGAAGAAUAAGCACCGGCUAACUACGUGCCAGCAGCCGCCGCAG
rnacentral:rRNA from 1 species